AUGGAGGGUUGGUUAACCUUAUGUUUCAUAGCCGUAUCGACGUUAGUGGCCGUUUGGUUUUCCGGUGGCAAGAGCAAGCCCAAGAAGCAUCUGCCUCCUGGGCCAUGGACUCUCCCGGUCAUCGGCAGCCUCCACCACGUCCUCAGUGUCCUCCCACACCGCACCAUCACGGAGCUGUGUCGCCGGCAUGGGCCACUGAUGCUCCUCAAGCUAGGUGAGGUUCCAACCGUGGUAGUCUCGAGCGCCGAGGCGGUGGAGCAGGUGAUGAAGACCAAUGACAUCGCCUUCUCGUACCGGCGGACCACCGAGUUGCAGGACAUCGUCGGCUUCGGCGGCAAGGGCAUCAUCUUCGCCCCCUACGACAACCGCUGGCGCCAGAUGCGCAAGGUCUGCAUCAUGGAGCUCCUCAAUUCCAAGCAGGUGAAGCGCAUGGAAGACAUCAGGGCCGAGGAGGUGGGCCGCCUCCUCCGCUCAAUCAUCACGGCCACAGCUGUGGGCGCUACCGUCAACAUCAGCCAGAAGGCUGCGGCGCUCAGCAAUGCCGUGGUGACGCGGGCGGUGUUCGGCGGCAAGUUCGCACGGCAGGAGGAGUACCUUCGCGAGAUCAACCAACUCCUAGAGCUGUUGGGAGGAUUCUGCCUUGUCGACCUCUUCCCGUCGUCGCGGCUGGUGCGGUGGUUCAGCACUUGCGAGCGCCGCACAAAGAAGAGCUGCGACCUCAUCCAGCACAUCAUCACCGGGGUGCUUGACGAGCGCAAGGUGGUGCGAGCUGCCGGUGACGGCGCCUGCAGCACCGACGAUGAGGACCUACUGGACGUGCUGCUCAGGCUGCAGGAAGAGGACUCGUUGGCAUACCCUCUAACGACAGAGAAUAUAACUACCGUCUUGUUUGACAUCUUUGCAGCUGGCACGGAUACUACAGGAACCGCUUUGGAGUGGGCUAUGUCAGAACUCAUAUGUCAUCCUGAAGCUAUGGCUAAGGCACAAUUAGAGGUUCGAGAGGUACUGGGUCAUGGCCGAGCUAUCAUUGGCAAUAGCGAUCUUGCAAAACUCCACUACUUGCGGAUGGUCAUCAAGGAGGUUCUUAGAUUGCAUCCACCUGGUGCUCUACUUCCCCGCAAGACUAGAGAGGACUGCAAAAUUAUGGGUUAUGACAUGCUUAAAGAUACAAAUAUAUACAUUAAUGUCUUCGCAAUUUCCCGAGAUCCUCGAUAUUGGAACAAUCCUGAAGAGUUUAAUCCAGGAAGGUUUGAGAACAAUAACGUGGAUUAUAAUGGGAAUUCUUUUGAAUUCACUCCUUUCGGAGGUGGGCGACGGCAAUGCCCUGGGAUAGCAUUCGCCACGUCACUUUUGGAGAUCACUUUAGCAAACUUUUUAUAUCACUUCAACUGGAUGCUUCCUGGCGAAGCCAGCUCAGCGUCACUGGAUAUGUCUGAGAAAUUUGGGUUCACCAUAGGUAGAACAUCUAAUCUGCACCUCAAGGCUAUUCCAUAUGUACGCUCCACUAUAUAG
rnacentral:rRNA from 1 species